rnacentral:rRNA from 1 species
UCAGUAACACGUAGUCACAUGCCCAGGGACGUGGAUAACCUCGGGAAACUGAGGAUAAACCGGCGGAUAAGUUCACUUACUUCUUGGAAUGGGUAAUGACUCAAAUCUAUAUGGCCCCUGGAUUGGACUGCGGCCGAUCAGGCUGUUGGUGAGGUAAUGGCCCACCAAACCUGUAACCGGUACGGGCUCUGAGAGGAGGAGCCCGGAGAUGGGCACUGAGACAAGGGCCCAGGCCCUAUGGGGCGCAGCAGGCGCGAAACCUCUGCAAUAGGCGAAAGCUUGACAGGGUUACUCUGAGUGAUUUCCGUUAAGGAGAUCUUUUGGCACCUCUAAAAAUGGUGCAGAAUAAGGGGUGGGCAAGUCUGGUGCCAGC